CUCAGUUGUACGGGCGGUGCUGGCUGCUGUGGAUGUGAAAACUCCCUGCCCCAUCUUGUUUGGAGUGAUGCAGCUGGCUGAAGCUAAGAGGGAGCACAUGGAGAGUUACCACAGCUCAGCUAAUAUAUGGGUGGGAAAGAAACCCGAAGUCGUGAGUCUGGUGGAGCCCUGCGUGUUUCCAAACGCCCUGCUCUGAGUUCAUCCCACCAGUAAGGCUGUGCAGCGUGAGAACUGGUAUGUAAACACGAUUCACAGGCACAAGGAACAAGAAGGCUUUUCUGACAGUGGCACCUUGCUCAUGGCUCUCAAAGCUUGGAGGGAGAGUGGGAUCGCUGGAAAAUACAAGACAAGCUGAUGGUU
rnacentral:lncRNA from 1 species